CUGAAUUAACGAACUUUAUGUGGUUAUAUACAGCAAUAAUGUCUGUCUAUAGUAAUCUAGCGGAUUUAGCGGUUAUAUUUUAUAAGUUAUUUAUUUAUUUAAGUUAUGUUUAUUAAACCAGUGCAAGCAAUCACAGAAAUGAAGCUUCAAGCCCCGUGACGCGCGUGCGGUGCCAGUUAACAAAAGUGGAUGAAGGCAGGCUGAGUGUCAUCCAUCACAGAGAAAGAGUAAGAUGGAUGGAUGGACGGACAGAUGGUGAACAUGGAUGUACUUCGUCAGAUUCCAAAAUUGGGGCCAAAACAAUAUGCAAGGAUGGAUGAAUGGACUGAGAAACCAAACCAUCAGUCAUAAUGAACAUCCUUUCCACUGGACAGUGAGGUACAGUAACAUCCAUAAUCCCACACUCUGUUUCCAUUGCCAAGUGACCCAUACUGUAACCAAGUACCAUUGUACCCAAGAGUGCCAAACAUGGGUGGAGCUGAAAACAGUGCAGGCUGGUGACAGGUCGGGAAAAAAAAGAAAGAAAGAAAAAGAAGAGGGCUUUCCUGGUGUACAGUAGAAAACAACUUCAGUAGUGCAACAGUCUGCUGAAGGAAUGUUUUUCUCAUCUCUAUGCAAGGCUAUGAGGCAUCACAAAUUCACCAUAAAACAUUGUUUUAUUUAUUUGCCCACAGUAAGGUUUUUGUGUAAGAUAUUUUUGCACCAUUUUUACAUUUCUAACCUGUGACCCAAAUUAAAGUCUUCCAGUUGGCCUGAACCCCCAAAUGGCUUCCUAUUGACUUUGUUUGCUUACUACAGCAUACACAGUGCACUACAGAGCCAACAGUACGGCAUCUGAGAUUCAGCCACAAGUUCAUUCUUUUUCAUUCAUCUUCAGUAAGCAGUUCAUCCCGGUCAGGGGAUGGAGCCAGAGCCUAUCACAGGAACACUGGACGCAAGGUGAGAGAAUUCACUCCAGGUGGGACAUCAGUCCAUCUCUCACACUCAAUCACACCUAGCAUAGACAGUCUGCCAUCCUGCAUGUUUUUGGGAAGUGGGAGGAAACCAGAGAACCCAGAGGAAACCCACUUGGACACGGUGAGAACAUGCGACAGACCUGAGUGACCUGAGCUCAGGAUCAAACCCUGGAGCUGUGAGGCACAGAACGUACAGGUUUCUAUUUUAAAUUCUUUUAUUUUUAUUGCAGAGUCUAAGUAUUUUUUCCUCUGUUGUAAGAAGAUUGCAAUCAAGAUUAAAGUAUUGGCACCCCUGACUUCCUCUGGGUGUAUUUAACGCAUCUUUAAUAUUUAGUUAAAGGGGGAACCAUACUGCUUGUUUCUGAGUAGAACUUGACAAGCUCUCCACAAACCUUUCUGAUAGAUCUUUAUUUAGAUUUGUUACUGUACCACACCAUCCAGUGAAACAAUAUUAAUAACUGUAGUCUUUAUGGCAACUCUGGUCUUCACAGUGGAGUAAUCAAUUACUGAAUUGAGCAAUUUGCUGCUCAGUGUUGAGACAAAUCAGGUGUCUGAGCGAGAAAAUCACCAAACUACUGGACUGAACUCUCCAUUCACACACAGCUCAUGCACACAUUUACCUCUUCACUCCAUAGGCCA